AUUAAACAAAACAUUGAGCUAAUAAUAAAUCUAAUUUAAAAAUAUUUUUUUUUAUUUGAUAUCACGAGUAAAAUUAUAGUCAGUUAUUGUAGUUAAGGCUUAUAAAACUAAUACCUGUUUAAUACUUAUUGACUUUAUUGAUGUAGCUGUGUUAAUGUAUUACUUGUUGGAUUUUCAAGGUGGUUGGUUACUUUUGUUGAAAAUACAGAAAUAAAUUAAUUUCGCAAUACAUGCGUUCAAGAUCUUUGAACUAACCGCAUAAUCUUUUCACAGACCACAGUAAGAAAUUUGAAUUAUUAAAAAGAUUCAAGAGAAAACUUAUCAUUUAAUCUUUUGUGAAUAAUUUAUAUAUGUAUAUAAAGAUAUAUAUAUAUAUAUAUAUAAAGAUUCAUUGAUAUUUAACAAAUUGGUAACACUAACAAAGUUAAGAGGUUAACGAAAGAAGUCAUUAACAAUAAAAAAAAAAUUGUACGUUAUUAGUAAUCAUGUACUUUACGAAUCGGCUAGUUGUUAUACUUAUUACAGUUUCUACAGUUUUAACAAAACCUUAUGUUGACUUAUCUAAAUUUGCGGGGAUGUAUUCCACCAUAAUUUCACUCUCAGAGAAGAUUAUUAACGAAGGUAAAAAACGACCUCCGAUCAUAGAUACAAUUGGCUUUGGAUGCGACGAAGAAUGCAAAGAAAAAGAAAGAUUGAGGCGCUUACUAGAGCAGAAUGGUUACGUCGACCAAUCAAAAAAGAUCAGUAGCGAGGAAUAUUAUAAAGAGUACAUGCUUUUCAGAAAAAAAAACUAUGUAUGAGCUUUAAAACUUUCAGAAUAUAAAUUAUAUUUGGUCAAAAUAUAUUUCACUGCAUAUACGUCAUUCAAAUGCAAAUUACGUUGUAUAGACCUCAACUCACUGUAUCACAUAGUGCACAGUUGUUAUAAUAAAGACACUUAAAAUAUUAUUUUUGGAAUAUAAUCAAUUUUUGCGAA